GAAGGGGGUACCUAUAAGGAUGCCCUAAGUCUCUCUGUCAUAUUCAGUAAUCCAGAGAUAUAAAAUGAAGAGAAGAAGCUGCUUCCAGAAGCUACAUAUUUGUCUCUUUGGUGACCUGAAUAACACAUGAAGGCGGGCUCAUAAUGGGAAUGUGAUACGGUUACCAGAAUAUCAGCAGAUGUCCUGGAUGUGUCAUCUGCAUUACACUAAAGACACAUGGAGGAGUCAGGGCUCUGCCCAAAGACUAGCACUAGAUCAGUCCCAUGCUGGCUUCUGUGCCAGACUUCAGACAGAAAGGCGUGGGUGUUAAAAGCUGGAGGAGGAUGCAGUGGGAAGAAACCAGCCUGACACUCCGUAUUCAGAUUUUGCCCAAGUUCCAAAAGUGAACACGCUGGGGAGUUCAGAUGGAUCAUCUCCCCCACCGCCUCCCACUGCCUUGUAGAUGAGGAUCCUAAAGCCACAAGGAGCAGGUGACUUAGGGUACGGCUGGGCAGCAGGCUUAGUGGCAAUCAGUGAUUCAAAGUCAGGAGACCCAAUUCCGAGUCUGGAACAAGAAAGAUGGGAAUUGUGUAGUGACCCACCUGUAAGAAGCUGUCCAGCAGGGACAUCACACCACAGUAACCCAGGGGACUGCAAACAACCCUGGCACCUGGUCCCCACCAUGGAGAUUCUGGUUUGGUUUGGUUUUGCUGAGAUGGGGGACUCAGUGUGUUGCUUGAGCUAGGCUGUGACAUAGAGGCCUUCUACCUGAGCCUCUUGAGAGGCUGGGAUUAAAGACAUACAUCACUGGAUGUGGC